CCUAUAAUUGAGGGCUGGAAUGAAUGGUUUGACAAGAGUAAUACUGUCUCUUUAAGAUUUCUCAAAAUUUAAUUUAUAGGUCAAGAAUCCUAGAUAAAAUUAAAAGACAAGAAGACCCUAUCGAGCUUUAAAAGAGAGCAUGAAAUAAAAUUAAUAUAUUAUUAUAUUUAAAGUCAUCUAAUAUUUUGGUUGGGGCGACUAAGGAACAUUUAAAGCUUCUUAUUUUAUUUUAAAACUGAAAAGUUUUGAUCCAGUUAUUGCUGAUUAAAAAAAUUAGUUACCGUAGGGAUAACAGCAUAAUCUCUCUUAAGAGCUCAUAUCGAAAGAGAGGUUUGUGACCUCGAUGUUGGACUAGAAUAUCCUAAAGAUGCAGAAGU
rnacentral:rRNA from 1 species